CAAACGUUGGGUCCGCGGAAGAGUAUGCGGUUGGAGCCUGGAGGCUCAGAUGGCCCCCAGGUCUGGAGAGGCAAGAUUAGGGGAUAGAAGCUCCCCAGAGGCGCAUCUCCUGCCCUCUGCUUGGACUUAGCCUUCUCUCCAUCUGCCACCACAGCCUGGAGGCGCUUGCCUCCACCCUCCCGAAUGGUGCUCCUCUUCACAGGUGUCGGCCCAGGAUCCAGGCCCCCUUUGCUCCCUGAGUUGGAGCUGUUGCUGUUGGGGUCUCUUGGUGGACUCCCCGUGGUGGGGUGUGAAGAACUUUUGCACAGACGAGGCUUUAGUUAUAGGGACCUCAUCAGCAGUUUGAAUCUCAGCCUCUAACUGAAUGCCAGGCUCCUCUGUGCUCCUUCUUUUCAACCUUUGAGACUAGAAGACCCUUCUCUAUUACAUCCAAAGCCCAGGAAGCCUCAAGCUGGGGC
rnacentral:lncRNA from 1 species